CUCUCUCUCUCUCAUUUCAAUUCGCCCAACCUUUCAUCACAUCUCCGCGUAUUCCACAGGUAAUAUACGAAUCCAUGAGGAAAUACCGUUCUCAACUGAGUAGCUGAGAUAUGCCAAAGAGUAGAACAUGACAUGGAAAUUCUUGGUGAAGAUGCUCAUUUUACAUAUAGGGCAUGGUGUUUAUGGUUCUGAAGACAAUGCAGAAGCACAUAUCAGGUUUUGCUUUAUGAUGCUGGUGAUGCUUUAUGAUA